UGGUAGCUGAGGGGGUUCAGUGAGACUCAAGCUGGGGUUGGUAGUCGAAGGUGGCUGAUAUAUUGACAACAAUUAUAAGAGUCGACAUGGAUGGUCGACUGGUGUCUGAUUGGUAAGAUUAAAUGGGUCUAACCACCCAAGCCUGCUGAUUGAGGAUGAUCUAGCUUGAUGCAGGUCAACUCAGGUGUCAAGCCCCUGUGCCUAUUAGAUAAAGGCUAAUAAACCCCACCUCGCAAUAGG
rnacentral:lncRNA from 1 species